CCGCUUAUGCUAUAAUCGGUGUGUCUCUCUCUUUCUCGUCGUCAUUGCUGUCGCAUUUCUUCUCAACUUGGGUGGAGACUUUUCGUUUUCCGACAAAAAAACAGGGAAAUACGAAACGUCGUUUAAGGUUGAGUUAUGACACAUUGCGGCUGAGUUAUGGUACAUUACGGCUGAUUUAUAUUAUGACUUAUUGUAAGUUACGGCUGAGUUGUGGUUUUUUUUGUCAUUGUUCACGUACAGGAAAAAAAUAUCUCUACCUCGGCGAUUCCGGCGAAGAACCCUAAUUCUCGUCGCUUCUCUCUCUCUCAUCUCUUUCGUCCGCUUCGACUCAUACCGACGAGUCUCUCUCUCUCUCUC
rnacentral:lncRNA from 1 species